GAGGAAACAGGUGCAGUAAUGCUCCAGGAGAGAGACCCAUGACAAGUGGCAGAGUUGGGGCUGCAAGCCAGGCCUGCCACUCUUGCCCCCCCUUUUUUUUUUUUGAGACAGAGUCUCACUGUGUCCCCCAGGCUGGAGUGCAAUGGCGCCAUCUCGGCUCACUGCAACUUCCGCCUCCCAGGUUCAAGCGAUUGUCCUGAGUAGCUGGGAUUACAGGCACUCACCACCAUACCCAGCUAAUUUUUGUAUUUUUAGUAGAGACAGGGUUUCACCAUGUUGGCCAGCUGGUCUCAAAACUCCUGACCUCAGGGGAUCCACCUGCCUCGGCCUCCCGAAGUGCUGGGAUUACAGGCAUAAGCCACUGUGCCCGGCCACUCUUGCCCUUUUCAUGACAUCAAGUUCAGAUGAGUUCAGACAUUUAUGGUGUUAACCUCAUAAAGUCAAAGAGCUUCAGGCGGGGAGAGAGACGGGCAUCCUUCCAACCAGGGUCCAGUGAGGGCUUGGAUAAGGGGACAGCUGGUUGCCGUCCUUCAGAUGGAGACUGAGCUGACCUGAGGGAUGAGCAGGAACCAAGGGGCUGAAGGAAGGAGGGAAGGGGCUCGAGCAAGUGGAAUAGCAUGAGCAAGGCACAAGGCAGUGAGAGAGACCGGGCUGGGAACUAUUAAUAUAUACAAGAUGCCCCCUACAACAAGGAGGGGUGGCAGGGGAGGAGAGGAAAGACAUGUGGGGCUCAGGGCUGAGGGCACCCUUGAUGGGUGCUGCAGUGAUGGGGAGCCAUGGAAGGCUUCAAGCAGGGAAGUGAUGUGGGCAGGUUUCCAUCUUAUUUUCUGUCUCUCGGGCCUGUGGUGUUAAAAGCAGCAAGACAAGAUGGGGGCCUGGCUAGCCGGGACUAAGACGACAGAGAGUAGAGAAAUCUGCCCAGAGAGGUGUUCUGCGGAAGUCCACCCAUGCAAAGCCACAGCAGAACUGUCCAGGAACCCAAACAUACAGCAACCACCAUUCUCAAGCACAACAGGAGGGUCACCUCUGAAAGGCCAGCGCCAGGGAGAAGUCACAAAGCCCUAGAAAAAGGAUACAAACUACUUCCCAGGAUAUUUAAGCAACUUUCAGGAUAAAGGUCAGAAAUCUUUGCAAAUUCAUGAGAACAGAGGAAAUGCUACCAGAAGAUUGGAGCUGGACAAACAUCCUACAUUUCAAAUACAGAAAAAAAUGGGUAUUUCCAACUGAUGAGGGGUUUAUCUGGACACGACACAGCACCAUCCGAAGCAGAGGAGCAUCUGUACCAGGUUCUUGUACAGAACACAUGGCACACACAACUGUUUGUUCACUGACUUAAAAUCCAUGAUUGGCACCUGCUAUUAGUCUGGCUGGUGGCUCACACCUAUAAUCCUAACACUUUGGGAGGCCGAGGCAGAAGGACUGCUUGAGGCCAGGAGUUCAACACCAGCCUGGGCAAUAUAGCAAGACCCCCCUCUCUUCAAAAAAAUAAAAAUAAAAAUGAGCCAGGUGUGGUGGUGCAUGCCUGUAGUCCCAGCUACUCAGGAGGCUGAGGCAGAAAGAUCACUUAAGCCUGGGAGGUGGGAAGCUUCAGAGAGCUGUGAUCGUACCACUGGACUCCAGCCUGGGCAACAGAGCCAGACACUGUCUAAAAAAAAAAAAAAAAAAAAGACUAGAGACUGGCCUUGGGUUAUUAUUCUUAAUCAAAGAAAAUAAUGUAUAUGAAAUGUUUUAUAAACUAUAAAGGGCUGCAC